rnacentral:rRNA from 1 species
UACGUAGGGUGCAAGCGUUAUCCGGAAUUAUUGGGCGUAAAGAGCUCGUAGGCGGUUUGUCGCGUCUGCUGUGAAAACUGGAGGCUCAACCUCCAGCCUGCAGUGGGUACGGGCAGACUAGAGUGCGGUAGGGGAGAUUGGAAUUCCUGGUGUAGCGGUGGAAUGCGCAGAUAUCAGGAGGAACACCGAUGGCGAAGGCAGAGCUCUGGGCCGUAACUGACGCUGAGGAGCGAAAGCAUGGGGAGCGAACAGG